ACCAAUCCCCAGCGUCUCCGACUCGGAUGUCUAGGGCAGGGGUGGGCGGAGGCAGAGCGCGGGGCUCCUCUCGACCAAUCCCAAAGGUUCCCGCACCGGCGGGGCCGGCGCUUCGCUCCGCCCUUCCGGGAGCCGCGUCCGGGCCGAGGGCAGCGCCGCCAACCGCCUAGUGGUGGCGCGCGGCACCCGCUUAAUAGGGCGGGAGGGGCGGUGCUGGCGCCCGCGGUGAUUGGCAGGCAGGCGUGCGGCCUGGCAGAUGCAGAUUUUCUGAGAGGUGAUUGGCUGGGUUGGUCGCGGGGCGGGAGGAGACGAAUACUUAGCUAGGGAUUCGCCGCAGAGGAGCGGAAGUCGGCCGCCGGCGCGCUUGAAUUGUGAGGAGGGAGAGGAGGAGCGUUUGCCGCCUUGGCCUCUGUCAGCAGCCAGGGUCAGACCGCCGUCGCGCCCUGCCUGGGAGACGCCAGGGGCCUGU